CAUCAUUUAAAGAAAGCGUAAUAGCUCACUGGUCGAGUCGGCCUGCGCGGAAGAUGUAACGGGGCUAAACCAUGCACCGAAGCUGCGGCAGCGACGCUUAUGCGUUGUUGGGUAGGGGAGCGUUCUGUAAGCCUGCGAAGGUGUACUGUGAGGUAUGCUGGAGGUAUCAGAAGUGCGAAUGCUGACAUAAGUAACGAUAAAGCGGGUGAAAAGCCCGCUCGCCGGAAGACCAAGGGUUCCUGUCCAACGUUAAUCGGGGCAGGGUGAGUCGACCCCUAAGGCGAGGCCGAAAGGCGUAGUCGAUGGGAAACAGGUUAAUAUUCCUGUACUUGGUGUUACUGCGAAGGGGGGACGGAGAAGGCUAUGUUGGCCGGGCGACGGUUGUCCCGGUUUAAGCGUGUAGGCUGGUUUUCCAGGCAAAUCCGGAAAAUCAAGGCUGAGGCGUGAUGACGAGGCACUACGGUGCUGAAGCAACAAAUGCCCUGCUUCCAGGAAAAGCCUCUAAGCAUCAGGUAACAUCAAAUCGUACCCCAAACCGACACAGGUGGUCAGGUAGAGAAUACCAAGGCGCUUGAGAGAACUCGGGUGAAGGAACUAGGCAAAAUGGUGCCGUAACUUCGGGAGAAGGCACGCUGAUAUGUAGGUGAAGUCCCUUGCGGAUGGAGCUGAAAUCAGUCGAAGAUACCAGCUGGCUGCAACUGUUUAUUAAAAACACAGCACUGUGCAAACACGAAAGUGGACGUAUACGGUGUGACGCCUGCCCGGUGCCGGAAGGUUAAUUGAUGGGGUUAGCGGUAACGCGAAGCUCUUGAUCGAAGCCCCGGUAAACGGCGGCCGUAACUAUAACGGUCCUAAGGUAGCGAAAUUCCUUGUCGGGUAAGUUCCGACCUGCACGAAUGGCGUAAUGAUGGCCAGGCUGUCUCCACCCGAGACUCAGUGAAAUUGAACUCGCUGUGAAGAUGCAGUGUACCCGCGGCAAGACGGAAAGACCCCGUGAACCUUUACUAUAGCUUGACACUGAACAUUGAGCCUUGAUGUGUAGGAUAGGUGGGAGGCUUUGAAGUGUGGACGCCAGUCUGCAUGGAGCCGACCUUGAAAUACCACCCUUUAAUGUUUGAUGUUCUAACGUUGGCCCCUAAUCGGGGUUGCGGACAGUGUCUGGUGGGUAGUUUGACUGGGGCGGUCUCCUCCUAAAGAGUAACGGAGGAGCACGAAGGUUGGCUAAUCCUGGUCGGACAUCAGGAGGUUAGUGCAAUGGCAUAAGCCAGCUUGACUGCGAGCGUGACGGCGCGAGCAGGUGCGAAAGCAGGUCAUAGUGAUCCGGUGGUUCUGAAUGGAAGGGCCAUCGCUCAACGGAUAAAAGGUACUCCGGGGAUAACAGGCUGAUACCGCCCAAGAGUUCAUAUCGACGGCGGUGUUUGGCACCUCGAUGUCGGCUCAUCACAUCCUGGGGCUGAAGUAGGUCCCAAGGGUAUGGCUGUUCGCCAUUUAAAGUGGUACGCGAGCUGGGUUUAGAACGUCGUGAGACAGUUCGGUCCCUAUCUGCCGUGGGCGCUGGAGAACUGAGGGGGGCUGCUCCUAGUACGAGAGGACCGGAGUGGACGCAUCACUGGUGUUCGGGUUGUCAUGCCAAUGGCACUGCCCGGUAGCUAAAUGCGGAAGAGAUAAGUGCUGAAAGCAUCUAAGCACGAAACUUGCCCCGAGAUGAGUUCUCCCUGACUCCCUGAGAGUCCUGAAGGAACGUUGAAGACGACGACGUUGAUAGGCCGGGUGUGUAAGCGCAGCGAUGCGUUGAGCUAACCGGUACUAAUGAACCGUGAGGCUUAACCUU
rnacentral:rRNA from 2 species